CUGUGAGAUUACAUGUGCAUAUAGUGUUAAUGCUAUAAGAGUGUAGUAUCUACUCACAAAGUUAUCAGGUUAAAUAGUUUUAUCAACUAAUAAAAAUGUUAUUGCAUAACUAAUGUUAUACUGUAGCCCUGCCACGAUAUCCAGCGAAAAUUAUUUUGCUGAGUAUCGUAGUAAAAGUUAAGAUAUGAUGUUGAGAAUUUUUUUGAGUCGUGCAACAACAUUAACAGCAAACUAUAAUACAAAUCUAUCUUUUUAAAAGUUUGUAUUGCU
rnacentral:misc_RNA from 1 species